AUGGUUUUAGUCCCUGCAAAUAUGUCUCGUUUUGGUUUUACUCCCUAUAAAAAAAAAUUGUUUUUGGUCCCUGUAAAAUUUUUUGUUUUUGAAAAUAGUCCCUGACCCCACUUUUGUGAUGAUUUGCAUACGUGACACAUUAUAACUGAACCAAUUUUGUAGUUUUUGGUCCCUGCAAAAUAUUUUGUUUUUAAAAAAGGUCC
rnacentral:lncRNA from 1 species